rnacentral:tRNA from 1 species
GAGGUUGUGGCUCAGUGGUGGAGCGCUCACCCAGUACGUGCGGGGUCCUGGGUUUGAUACAUAGCACCACA